GCCGCCGGCGCCGUCGCCUUCCCGGCGCCGCCCCCGCCCCUCCGCGCGGGGCCGGGGGCAGAGUGGGCGUCUCGCCUCUCCUCACGAAACAAAGAAGCCGCCGCCGCCACCGCCGCCGAGAGAGGACAUGAUGCUAUUACACACUUAACAGACCACACUAUAGUGUAAACAUACUUUUAUAUGUACGAGGAGAACCCAGGAUUCAUUUGACUUUCUUUACUGUGACAUUCACCUUAUAAUGGUCUGGAACUGAACCCACAACAUCUCCAAGAUGAAACAGACCACUGAAAUAAAUCUCAAAGUCCGCUGCGAUGUCUGGGUGCAGAGGCCUACCCCCAUCUGCUCCGACUUGGCUUCAGGCUUGUAGGCUGGAUUUUCAAGGGAUAGUGACUAGCAAGGCUGCAGCUAAUAGAGCUAGUCCCAGCUGUCUCCAUGGUAACGUUGUACCGUAUCAAUGUCACCUUCAUCCCGCCAAGAACAUGGUUCAUAGGACCAAGCCCAGUCGUCUCCAUGGUAACAUUGUCCCCUAUGGACAUCACCUUCAUCCCUCCAAGAACAUGGUUGCACAGAGACCAAGGCAUAAAGGUAGUUUCCCGCUUAUCUGGACGUCAAACCAUGACUCUCCAGCGACCCUGAACUUGGGCAGUGUUGAGGGAGCAGCAGCUGAUCUCAUUCUGUGAAAAACAAUUUAAGAGAUAACAAGACAUAUGAAGAUGAAUACAGCAAACAGCCACAUACCCACUUCCUAGCUUUGCCAAUAGAGCGAAGGUCUCCAGCAUGCACCUCCCCACUUUCCUGCCUUGGACCCCACCAGAGACAGAGACUGUUCUAAGUCUGGUGUUUAACAUGUCUUAGCACGCCUUUAUGUCAUUACAGAGAAGUGGGUUUUGCAGGCUUUUAGAUUUUACUGAUUUUUUUACUUUUCUUUUUAAUGUUUUUUUUUCUUUUUUUUUAAACAUCUUGUUCU